rnacentral:tRNA from 1 species
CGAGUCGUAGUUUAAUUUAAGAAUUGGGAUUUUGGGGAUCCUUGGCCCGUUUGGCGAUUUGG